UGUGGGUACUUAGACAACGAUAUAUAUAAUAAAUAUAUAUACAUACUUAUAUAAAUAGAAAACAACCAUGACUCAGGAACAAAUAUCCGUGUUCAUCACACAAAUAAAUGCCCUUACCGGGAUUCGAACCCAGGACCAUCGGCUUCGCAGGCAGGGUCACUACCCACUAGGCCAGACCGGUCUACGCCAUUUAUUUGCGAACAACCCGAAUACCCACAUACCAUAUUUAUCAAAGAUUAUAACUACCUACAUUACACUCCUCUACGCUAAUUUUAUGCACUAAUAUUCUAAGGAACCUUUUAACCGCCAUCUAUUGAGCUGGAGACGAAUGUUAUC